AAGUCGUAACAAGGUUUCCGUAGGUGAACCUGCGGAAGGAUCAUUAACGAAAUUAUGACUGGGGUUGUCGCUGGCCUAUAAAACGGCAUGUGCACGCCCCUUUCACAAUCCACACACACCUGUGCACCUUCGCGGGGGUCUUCCUUUAUCGGAAGGCUCGCGUCCCUUUACACACCCUCUGUAUGUCUUAAGAAUGUCUACUCGAUGUAAUAAAACGCAUCUAAUACAACUUUCAACAACGGAUCUCUUGGCUCUC
rnacentral:misc_RNA from 1 species